ACGCUGGCGGCAGGCCUAACACAUGCAAGUCGAGCGGUAGAGAGGAGCUUGCUUCUCUUGAGAGCGGCGGACGGGUGAGUAAUGCCUAGGAAUCUGCCUAGUGGUGGGGGAUAACGUUCGGAAACGGACGCUAAUACCGCAUACGUCCUACGGGAGAAAGCGGGGGACCUUCGGGCCUCGCGCCAUUAGAUGAGCCUAGGUCGGAUUAGCUAGUUGGUGAGGUAAAGGCUCACCAAGGCGACGAUCCGUAACUGGUCUGAGAGGAUGAUCAGUCACACUGGAACUGAGACACGGUCCAGACUCCUACGGGAGGCAGCAGUGGGGAAUAUUGGACAAUGGGGGAAACCCUGAUCCAGCCAUGCCGCGUGUGUGAAGAAGGUCUUCGGAUUGUAAAGCACUUUAAGUUGGGAGGAAGGGUAGUAACUUAAUACGUUGCUACUUUGACGUUACCGACAGAAUAAGCACCGGCUAACUCUGUGCCAGCAGCCGCGGUAAUACAGAGGGUGCAAGCGUUAAUCGGAAUUACUGGGCGUAAAGCGCGCGUAGGUGGUUUGUUAAGUUGGAUGUGAAAGCCCCGGGCUCAACCUGGGAACUGCAUCCAAAACUGGCAAGCUA
rnacentral:rRNA from 1 species